AGUGAACGCUGGCGGCGUGCCUAAUACAUGCAAGUCGAACGGAGUGGCGCACGGGUGAGUAAUUUAUAGCUAAUCUGCCCUACACUAGAGGGCAACAGUUGGAAACGACUGCUGAUACUCUAUAGUGUAGGAUGAGGCUAUAUUGUAUCAGCUAGUUGGUGAGGUAAUGGUUCACCAAGGGUAUGACGAAUAACUGGUCUGAGAGGAUGAUCAGUCACACGCGAACUGAGACACGGUCCAGACUCCUUCGGGAGGCAGCAGUAGGGAAUAUUGCUCAAUGGGGGAAUACCUGAAGGAGCAACGCCUCGUGGAGGACGAUAAUUUUCGGAGCGUAAACUCCUGUUGUUAGGGAAGCGGUACCUAACGAAUAAGCACCGGCUAACUCCGUGCCAGCAGCCGCGGUAAUAC
rnacentral:rRNA from 1 species